GCAAGUCGAGCGGACUGAUGGGAGCUUGCUCCCUGAAGUCAGCGGCGGACGGGUGAGUAACACGUGGGUAACCUGCCUGUAAGACUGGGAUAACUCCGGGAAACCGGGGCUAAUACCGGAUAGUUCUUUUCCUCUCAUGAGGGAAAGCGGAAAGGCGGCUUUUAGCUGCCACUUACAGAUGGACCCGCGGCGCAUUAGCUAGUUGGUGAGGUAACGGCUCACCAAGGCGACGAUGCGUAGCCGACCUGAGAGGGUGACCGGCCACACUGGGACUGAGACACGGCCCAGACUCCUACGGGAGGCAGCAGUAGGGAAUCUUCCGCAAUGGACGAAAGUCUGACGGAGCAACGCCGCGUGAGCGAAGAAGGUCUUCGGAUCGUAAAGCUCUGUUGUCAGGGAAGAACAAGUACCGUUCGAACAGGGCGGUACCUUGACGGUACCUGACGAGGAAGCCACGGCUAACUACGUGCCAGCAGCCGCGGUAAU
rnacentral:rRNA from 1 species